GGGUCAGUAGGUUGGUCGUGCCACCGGUACGUACUGGUCUCACUGAUUCCUCCUACCUGAAGAACCGUAAUGCCAUUAAUUUGGUGUUGCGGGGAAACAGGACUGUUACUUUGAAAAAAUUAGAGUGUUUAAAGCAAGCUAACGCUUGAAUACAUUAGCAUGGAAUAAUGAAAUAGGACGAUCGAUCCUAUUUUGUUGGUUUCUAGGAUUGACGUA
rnacentral:rRNA from 1 species